CAGGUGUAGUUCAUCGGUAGAACAUCAGCUUCCCAAGCUGAAUAGGGGGGUUCGAUUCCCCUCACCUG
rnacentral:tRNA from 1 species